rnacentral:rRNA from 1 species
UCCGUAGGUGAACCUGCGGAAGGAUCAUUACCUUUCCAUGCAGCAGGAUUGGGGUGGUUGAGUAUCUCGCCUCCUGAUUCUGCCUGUAUUCUACCCUUGUUUUUCUCAUACUAUUAUUUCCUCGGCAGGCUUGCUUGCCGGGUGAAACCAUCUAUAACCUAUUUAAUUUUCAAUCAGCGUCUGAACAAAAUUAAUAAUUACAACUUUCAACAACGGAUCUCUUGGUUCUGGCAUCGAUGAAGAACGCAGCGAAAUGCGAUAAGUAGUGUGAAUUGCAGAAUUCAGUGAAUCAUCGAAUCUUUGAACGCACAUUGCGCCCCUUGGUAUUCCAUGGGGCAUGCCUGUUCGAGCGUCAUUUGUACCUUCAAGCUUUGCUUGGUGUUGGGUGUUUGUCCCUUGGGACUCGCCUUAAAAGUCAUUGGCAGCCAGUGUUUUGGUUUUGAAGCGCAGCACAAGUCGCGAUUCAAAGCUAUCCGCCCGCUUCCACAAGCCUUUUUCACUUUUGACCUCGGAUCAGGUAGGGAUACCCGCUGAACUUAAGCAUAUCAAUAAGGCGGGAGGGGAAGGUCGGACUGGCCAAGGGCACACAGGGGGGGAUA